UUGGAUGAAAAAUAAUACCAUGCACCAUCGGUACCAUAUAUUUUUUUUUCUCUCUCUCUCUCCCCAUCAUCUACCGGCUUUGUAACUCUAUUUUCUUUCAUCUCUUCAUUCAAUUGUUUUUGUUCACAGAUUAAUUAAACACAAAAUUCACAACUACUUCUAUAAUUUGCUAUUUCUUAUGAAAACUUCAAUCUUCAGCACAGGUAAAGCUAACACAUACAAGACCAAUUUUUAUCAAAUAAAAAAUACAAGACCAAAGUCAAAUACAAAGCUUCACAAAUACAAAGCUUCACAAAACAAAUACAGGAAAUAAAUAAAAAUGGCACCCCAAAAGAAACUAAAACACCCAACAUCAUGAAAAGCACCAAGACAAAGAUGAUUCCAAAGCUAAUAGGAAGGCCAGCACNNAACAAAACACAAAACAUUAGUCUUUAAAGCAAUACACCACCCAUAAACAAGAUAGGUUCUUUAGUUGAUUUUGUGUUGGAAUCAAUAGGCCUUAAAUUGAUUUUGUUCUUCGAUUGUUUAAUUGGAUUUUUCUAUAUUCACUUAUGAGUUUUUAUAUGGAUGUAUAGAUAUAGUGAUUGGUUUUAUAUAUAUAUAUAUCCUUGGUUUGAAAUUUGAAUAAAAUUAAUAAGAGAUUAAAUUGGGAGGUUUGUGUAUUAUUAUUGAUUUAUAGAAAAUAAAGAGAGUGUGGAUGUGAGUAGAAGAAAGGAAGCAAGAUACAAGAACAAGAAAUGCAGACGGAUGAGAGAAAUG
rnacentral:lncRNA from 1 species